CUGCCUCUCCGGGGCCCGGACCGCUGAGUCAGGCUCGCCUGCGGCCCCUCCUCUCCACUCCUUCUCCCCUCUCCCCGUAGGUGUGUCUCGGGCUCUGCGGCUGCCUGUCCCACUCCUGCCGAGACGCCGCGCGAGAGGUCACCCACCGCACCUCCAGCGAGCCCGACACAGACCAGCCAGGCAGCCCACAAUGGAAGCUACAGAUGCCUCCAGGAGCGGUGGGGUCAGCCCGGAAGCCAGGGGUGCCCGCAGCUUGCUGGGCCCCAAAGGCAGCCUGGAGACUGGGGCCAAGGCCGAAGGCAAAGAGGCCAGGAUCACCAACGGCCACGGCAGGGAAGUGGCCGAGGGCAAGAGCCUAGGUGGCUCCCUGAAGCCAGGCGAGGGAAAGGGCUCCCUGUUCUUGGGCAACAAGGGGCGGGGCGCCAUCAUCCAGUAUGUUGAGUCUGUGGAUGACAAGGGCUCCAACUACUUCAGCAUGGACUCUGGAGAAGGCAAGAUGUCCCCCUACGCCAGGCUCCAGCUGGGGGCCACCAAGAAGCCACCUGUCACCUUUGCUGAGAAGGGGGAGCCGCGCAGGCCCAUCUUCUCGGAGCCCCGCAAGCCCACGGUGGCCGUCAUGGAGCCCGGGGACCUCCAGCGGAACAUCUCCCCCCAGGCCGCCUCGAGCACCCUCCUGCACUCCAAGUUGGGCUCCGAGGAGGUCCUGUGCGACUCGUGCAUCGGCAACAAGCAGAAGGCCGUCAAGUCCUGCCUGGUGUGCCAGGCCUCCUUCUGCGAGCUGCACCUCAAGCCCCACCUGGAGGGCGCCGCCUUCCGUGACCACCAGCUGCUCGAGCCCAUCCGGGACUUCGAGGCCCGCAAGUGCCCCCUGCAUGGCAAGACCAUGGAACUCUUCUGCCAGACGGACCAGACCUGCAUCUGCUACCUCUGCAUGUUCCAGGAGCACAAGAACCACAGCACCGUGACCGUGGAAGAGGCCAAAGCCGAGAAGGAGACAGAGCUGUCACUGCAAAAGGAGCAGCUGCAGCUCAAGAUCAUCGAGAUCGAAGAUGAAGCUGCUAAGUGGCAGAAGGAGAAGGACCGCAUCAAGAGCUUCACCACCAAUGAGAAGGCCACCCUGGAGCAGAACUUCCGAGACCUGAUGCAGGACCUGGAGAAGCAAAAGGAGGAAGUGAAGGCUGCCCUGGAGCAGCGGGAGCAGGACGCUGCAGACCAAGUGGAGGUGAUCGUAGAUGCUCUGGAUGAGAGGGCCAAGGUGCUGCAGGACGACAAGCAGACCAGGGAGCAGCUCCACAACAUCAGCGACUCGGUGCUGUUUCUGCAGGAAUUUGGUGCCUUGAUGAGCAGUUACUCCCUCCCCCCGCCCCUGCCCACCUACCAUGUUCUAUUGGAGGGGGAGGGCCUGGGGCAGUCGCUGAACAACUUCAAGGACGACCUGCUUAAUGUAUGCAUGCGUCACGUUGAGAAGAUGUGCAAGGGGGACCUGAGCCAUAACUUCAUCGAGAGGAACCACAUGGAGAAUGGGGGUGACCAGCGCUACGUGAACAGCUACAGUAACAGCUACACCAGCGACUGGGGUGCUCCAGACACCGUGAAGAAGUACUCCAUGUACCUCGCAUCCAAGGGUGGGUCGAGGACGUCGUACCAGCCGGUGUCCCCCAGCCGCCUCUCCAAGGACAAGACCUUCAACAACCUGUAUGGUACCAAAGGAAGGAUUGGCCAGAAGUGUGACGAGGGCCCAGCAGUAUCCUGGCUGGAGACGUGCAGGGGCUGGAGAGAUUCACAGAAAUGGCCACGUCCCGGCCUCCGUCCCCCAUGCUAAGCUGUCCAGGGCUGAUGCCUCUUCCUUUCCCCACCAGGCUAUCCUUCCCUCCUCAGGUGCCAGAGCCCCAAGGCCCAGCCCCAGACUUGGAAAUCCAGCAAGCAGAAUUAUCUGUCACAGUACCGGCCCUUCUGCGUCAACAAAGGCAACGAGAUCAGGCCCAGCGAGGCCCCGUGAGUGCCAGGCCGGCGGGAACGAGGCGCCGCCACCCCUGCCCGCCCCGGCGGCCCUGCUGCUCUUGCUGUUCUGCU